rnacentral:lncRNA from 1 species
CCUCUCCGAUUUCUUCCUGGACAACUUCUCAGCCACACGUACGGACGGAAUUACAAUUGGGUUCUGAGAAUCAGCAGCCUCUUGGGCUCUUUCUCUGCAAUUCUCAAGACGAGUACUCUGCUUUUGGUCCUCCAUGACGACAUAGUGAAACAGAGCUUCCUUCGAGCCCUAUAAUGAAUUGCUGAUUUUUGGUGGCGAAGAUUCGAAGGUGGGAAGAAGAUAGUUGGGUUGGGUUUUGCGAUGAGGUAUGAGGAUUGGACGAGACGGAUGGGUUUGGGGGUUGUGGCGACGAAGUGCCCAGCCGCCAUGGAAGAACUUCAGAGCGAGGGAGAGAUAGAGAGAUUGACUUGAUGGUGGGUUGAAUUGAAGUGAACAGACACCACAACUUUCUGUCUGCAAACUUGAGAGAGUCUCA